rnacentral:lncRNA from 1 species
AAACCUCCAAUAAUUAUUAUCGUUAUUCUAAAUAAUUAAAUAAAAUAUACCGCUCUUAACCAAAUAUUUUAAUAAUUAUUAAAUUACUAAAAUACCCUCGAAUACACUAAAACUUCAUAAAACACCCAAAAAUGCACCAAUAUCACAUAAACAAAUUAUCAAAUAAUUCAUAAAAUGCUAUAAUUAAAUAAAAAGAAUUAAAUAAAUUAGGGGUGUUACAUCAACCACUGCUAUUUCUUCCUCAUUCCUGCUUUUGACACGGCGCUCGAUCUGUAACUUGCCUUGGUUCAACAUUGGUUGUAUAAAAUCCCUCAACUUUUUAUCAUUUUCUUCAUCAAC